rnacentral:rRNA from 1 species
AACGUAGGUGGCAAGCGUUAUCCGGAAUUACUGGGCGUAAAGGGUGUGCAGGCGGGGAAGCAAGUGGGGUAUGAAAUCUCCCAGCUUAACUGGGAUAGGUUAUGCCAGACUGCUUUUCUAGAGGACGAGAGAGGGGGGUGGAAUUCCGGGUGUAGUGGUGAAAUGCGUAGAGAUCCGGAGGAACCCCAGAGGCGAAGGCGGCCCCCUGGCUCGUACCUGACGCUCAGCCACGAAAGCAUGGGGAGUGAACGGG